rnacentral:rRNA from 1 species
GAUGAACGCUAGCGGCAGGCUUAACACAUGCAAGUCGAGGGGCAGCGCGAUGUAGCAAUACAUUGGCGGCGACCGGCGCACGGGUGCGUAACACGUAUGGAACUUACCCUUUACUGGGAGAUAGCCCGGAGAAAUCCGGAUUAAUAUCCCAUAAUAAACGAAGUGGCAUCACUUUGUUUUGAAAGCUCCGGCGGUAAAGGAUGGCCAUGCGCACGAUUAGCUAGUAGGUGAGGUAACGGCUCACCUAGGCUACGAUCGUUAGGGGGUGUGAGAGCAUGACCCCCCCANAUGGGUACUGAGACACGGACCCAACUCCUACGGGAGGCAGCAGUAAGGAAUAUGGACAAUGGACGAAAGUCUGAUCCAGCCAUGCCGCGUGCAGGAU